GAGGUGGGAGGAUCGCUUGAGCCCAGGAGUUUGAGGCUGCAGUGAGCUGUGAUCACACCCCUGCACUCCAGCCUGAGUGACAGAGCAAGACCCUGU
ensembl:miRNA